UCGGUUGUAAUAUGAAUUGAUGUAACCGCCAAAAUGUCGAAAAUGAGUUAUAUAUGUAGUUCGACUGCAAAUUUCAAUCCGGAUCGAUUGGUGUUGUUAAAAUGUUGAUAUCUUAAAAAAAAAUGUCGAGUACGUUAACCGCAACUUAACCGUUUUUUUCAAUUCACAUGACUUUUUUUAAGUUAUGGGCCGUUUUUGUAAAAUCUCAUGUUAUUUGGUUAACGUAAAGAUCAAAUUGUAAUUGCGCAUUAAUGUACUGAGCAACGUUGAAAAAAUAUCAUUGAUGUAAGUCUCAUUUAUUACAAAAUGACUCUUACCUUACUCAAUGAUUUUCCACAAUAUUACUUAUUGUCGGUUACGCUAAUAGUAAUGUCUACAAAAGUAUAGAAUGGCUUUUAAAUCAACACAAUAUUGCCUCGGUUUUUUAUGAAUACACCUGAAAAUAUUAACCUGAAUCACAUUGGAUUUCGUCUAUUUAACCAAUUGUAAGUUAUCUUUAAUAUAAAAGUAAGAAAAGUUAGCACAUUGUUGUCAAAAAUUUACUUAUUGCAAAUUAAAGCUAUUUAAAUAAAAAUAUUGUUUCUUACACUAAAUUUCACGUAUGUAUUGUAAUAUUUAUGUCGCUUACAUUAUCAUUUCUGUGCUCAAGCCACAAGUUUUGGCGCUUACAUUACAUUUGCUUGACGGUUUAGGACGAAUCGGGUGUUUACAUUAAGACGCUCGUUAAUAGUUUCUAGGCUAUCUCUUUUCUUUUCACUUGUUAUGCGUUAGCUAAGAGCGAGACAAUCAUACAUUUCAUGGUAAGCAACAAGUAUCACCGUAUGCGUUUGUUUAUGAUUUGUUAUUGUGAUCAAUGGUCGGUUUGUUCUAGCAACUCGUGAUAAAGACAUGUGUGUUGUGAUUUAUUAAUGCUAAAAUAAAAAUGAAUAAGUUAAGUGCAUUAAUAUCGCGUAAAGAACAGUUACUAAAACAGCGUGAAGCCUUGCAAAGGAGACAACAGAUAGAUUUCAAAGAUGGCAGUAAUAGUGAUAUUGUCGAGGAGAGCGACACUGAGAUGUUCCCAAAAAUUUCCACAAGCAGCAUACGCAGCCAACAUAAUGUCACAGUAUGUAGUACUGACGAUGAGCCCAGCAACGAUUCAAUAAAUACGUCGACUAUUUGCUUGCCUUAAGACCAUUCAUUUUUUCGGCCAUAUAGUGGUGAUGAGCUCAAUCAUGCUUCUACUAACAACAUUAACCCCAACGCUUCACCAACAACUCCUUUGCAAGAAGAUAAGGAAAAUAGCAUCUCGGAAUUUUUUCAAGGCAGUGAUAGUUCCACUAAAAAUAUGGACCUAACAUCUAAACAAUCAUUUGUUGAGGCCGAUGCUGAAAACAGUUUGGACAUUUUCCAGAAUUUGUCUUCAGAAUAUCAUGAUAGUAACAUGAAUGAGAUUAACAAUCACAAGAUUACAAAUGAUUUGAUUACUAACUUGCCCAAUAAUCAUCAGUUACAACUUCCUAUUAUUCAUGAAGAGUCUGCCAAAAAUCACACUAAUGAUCCGACUUCUUGCACGAUAAAUAAUGUAAAAUUUUACACAGAAAACACUACACAGGGCCCAAAAAAGAACAAAAUAAAUAUCAUCUCUGAUGUAGUUAUAAAAGCUGGGGGUAUUUGAAUCCGGAUUUAUAAAUGGUUUAGAAAACCAACAUGACAACGAAGACCAUGAAAUACCUUGCCCUACUAAUGAGCUACACACUAACUAUGAUUCAGGGCCAUGCAGUUCUAAGCAGGGUAGUGUUAACAGUUUAUUCAAUGAUAAGAAAAGAGAUAGUUCUACAUCUCAGGUUAUAACUGGACGAAAAAGGCGUAAUGCGACACAAUUCGAAAAAGCGUAUUUUGAUUUUAAAUUAGAAGAAGAUUUGGGGGAUUUCUCCUCUGGCAGCUCAGACUGUUGGUCACCUAAAGACACUGACAACGAAAGCUUAUCGGGAAAUAAGAAGGCGAAGAAAAGGGUAAAACGAAUAAAUAACGAAAAUGAAAACCAUGUACCAACUAAGAAAAUUAAAUUAAUCAAUAAAACUAAAACACGGAAACUUGCAAAAGAGAAGGGAAUGAAUUAUGAAACAGCAACAGGAAAGAUGAAAGAAGCUAGAAAACUAAAAAUAAAUCCAUGCGUAGAGACCAUUACAUUAAUGAAGGUGAGGGCCGAAGACAAGUAUGUCAACAGUUCCUAAGAAGCACAUUGGAUAUAUCCCAAACUUAUUUGCUUUAUAAUCUAGCAAACUCUAAUGAGGGUAUUUCACAAAAAGAUAAACGAACUCGCCAUGCUGAUCCGAAAUACGACUAAAACACCUACAAUGAUGCCAAAAACUAUAUUGAAGAUCUACCGGUGUUACCAUCACAUUAUAACCGACCUCAAUCAACAAGGCUCUAUAUACCGCAGGACUUUAAAACAGUAACAAACCUGUACCGCCUGUAUGUGAAGUAUUGUGAAGACAAAGCAAUCACACAUCUUAGUGACCGACUUUUCAGGAAUCUUUUUUCUGAGUACAACUUAACCUUCCACGUACCGAAAAAAGACAAAUGCAAGCUGUGCGUUAAAUAUGAAAAUAAUACGAACGUAUUAAAUAAAAAGGAGACCAACGAAUAUCAAAAACAUCUCGAAGAGAAAAAUGCAUCCUACAAACGAGCUGAAGAACAUCGAAAUAUGUUAUGUAUUGAUAAUUCGACGGUGAUGGCUAGUUUCGAUCUACAGAAAGUUCUGAAUACCCUAUAUAGAAAAGACAGUAGAAAAGGCUAAAAAGAGACAAGAAGAAGAAAAAUUUGGAAAAAGAGUGAAAAAAAAUACGAAAAAGUAGAAUAAACUACGUGUUUUCUUAUGUUAGUUUCGUAAAAUAUUAUAAUUGUAUGU